CCCUUAGAUGUUCUGGGCCGCACGCGCGCUACACUGAUUCAUGCAACAAGUUUUGUCCUUGGCUGAUAGGCCUGGGUAAUCUUUGAACGUGAAUCGUGAUGGGGAUAGAUGAUUGCAAUUAUUCAUCUUCAACGAGGAAUUCCUAGUAAACGCAAGUCAUCAGCUUGCAUUGAUUACGUCCCUGCCCUUUGUACACACCGCCCGUCGCACCUACCGAUUGAAUGGUCCGGUGAAAUCUUCGGAUCUGAGAGAUGUCUGAUUAAUUUCGGACGCCUUUUGGAAAAGUUGCUUAAGCCUUACCAUUUAGAGGAAGGUGAAGUCGUAACA
rnacentral:rRNA from 1 species